rnacentral:rRNA from 1 species
GAUGAACGCUAGCGAUAGGCCUAACACAUGCAAGUCGAGGGGCAGCGGGGAGGAAGCUUGCUUUCUCCGCCGGCGACCGGCGCACGGGUGAGUAACACGUAUGCAACCUGCCCCUGUCAGGGGGACAACCCGCCGAAAGGCGGGCUAAACCCGCGUACAUGCCACCGGGGCAUCCCGGAGGCAGGAAAGGCUUCGGCCGGACAGGGAUGGGCAUGCGGCGCAUUAGGCAGUAGGCGGGGUAACGGCCCACCUAACCGACGAUGCGUAGGGGUUCUGAGAGGAAGGUCCCCCACACUGGUACUGAGACACGGACCAG